CCUACGGGGGGCGGCAGUGAGGAAUAUUGCACAAUGGAGGAAACUCUGAUGCAGCAACGCCGCGUGGAGGAUGACGCAUUUCGGUGUGUAAACUCCUUUUAAGAGGGAAGAUAAUGACGGUACCUCUUGAAUAAGCACCGGCUAACUCCGUGCCAGCAGCCGCGGUAAUACGGAGGGUGCAAGCGUUACUCGGAAUCACUGGGCGUAAAGGGUGCGUAGGCUGACUUUUAAGUCAGGUGUGAAAUCCAAUGGCUUAACCAUUGAACUGCACUUGAAACUGGGAGUCUAGAGUUCAGAAGGGGCAGAUGGAAUUAGUGGUGUAGGGGUAAAAUCCGUAGAUAUCACUAGGAAUAUCAAAAGCGAAGGCGAUCUGCUGGGAUGAUACUGACGCUGAGGCACGAAAGCGUGGGGAGCAAACAGGAUUAGAUACCCUGGUAGUCCACGCCCUAAACGAUGAAUGCUAGUCGUCGGGGAGCUCGUCUCUUCGGUGAUGCACUUAACAGAUUAAGCAUUCCGCCUGGGGAGUACGGUCGCAAGAUUAAAACUCAAAGGAAUAGACGGGGACCCGCACAAGUGGUGGAGCAUGUGGUUUAAUUCGAAGAUACACGAAGAACCUUACCUGGCCUUGACAUGGUAGGAACCCUUAAGAGAUUAGGGGGUGCUAGCUUGCUAGAACCUACACACAGGUGCUGCACGGCUGUCGUCAGCUCGUGUCGUGAGAUGUUGGGUUAAGUCCCGCAACGAGCGCAACCCUCGUCCUUAGUUGCUAACAGUUCGGCUGAGCACUCUAAGGAGACUGCCUUCGCAAGGAGGAGGAAGGUGAGGACGACGUCAAGUCAUCAUGGCCCUUACGGCCAGGGCUACACACGUGCUACAAUGGGGCGUACAAAGAGCUGCAAUACCGCGAGGUGGAGCCAAUCUCUUAAAGCGUCUCUCAGUUCGGAUUGUUCUCUGCAACUCGAGAACAUGAAGCUGGAAUCACUAGUAAUCGUAGAUCAGCUAUGCUACGGUGAAUACGUUCCCGGGUCUUGUACUCACCGCCCGUCACACCAUGGGAGUUGAUUUCACCCGAAAUCGGGAUGCCAAACUGGCUACCGCUUACGGUGGAAUUAGCGACUGGGGUGAAGUCGUAACAAGGUAACC
rnacentral:rRNA from 1 species